GCGGUGGCAGCGGCUGCGUGCGGCUGGCGUUGAGCUGGCGUGGGAGCCAAAGCGGCCGGAGACCGCGAGGCGGAGCGGCGGGAGCGAGCGGCGUGCGCGGCAUUCGGCCAUCGAGUCUCUGGUCAGUGGGGACGCCCGGCUGUGGAGCCCGUGUGUCUGUGGCAUGGAAGGGAGCGGCGGCCGGGUGCGCAGCCGCGGUUCCGUCGGGUUCCGCGUGCUGGCCGCGCACUGGCCGCGUCCCCUACGCACGCGGCCGGGAGCGGCCUCCGCUCGCUGUUUGGUGGGGCGUCCUCCCGUGGACCCUAGCUGGCGGCUGCUGCGGCUGUGUGUGGCUGCUGUCCAAACCUGCGGGGCACCGCGCGGCGCGGUGCGCAGGUGGGCGGCCUUGACCUUCCCGUCAGCACGGCCUCGGGACGCAGCGCGCGCCCGCGCUCCUGCGCCUGCAUUCCUUCGCCUCCCCACGCCGGAACAGUGCCCCCCACCCCACCACGCCACCCGCCGCUGCUGUCUGGUGGGCCAAACUCGCGCGGAGCCCCAGUGCCGGUGACCGCGGCUGCGUGGCCUUGCCGGCUAUUGAGGAUGACAGCAGGGGAGGCGGGGCCUUUUCGGCUACCCGGCCUUGGAUCUACCUUGGAUCCCCUCGCCUCCCCACACCGGAACAGUGGCCCCCGCCCCCCACGCCGGAACAGUGCUCGGACGGCACCUGUCCGUCCUGCCCUCUGCUGCGGCCGCGACGUCCCGUCGGAGCCGGUGGCCGAGACCGCCCCGUCACGUCGGCCAGUUCCCGGAGCUCGAGACCCGGCCCCUAUCCCGCCGAGAUAAGAGCCGCGCCCCUUCCCUCUCCUCUCCCUCCUCUUCCCCCCCUUUCUUCUCCGUCCUGCUUCUCUCUUGGUGUUCUUUAUCCGGCUGCUCUUUUUCGCCUGCUACGCAGUCUGAGGAUCUGUGAGCCCAUGCGCUUCUUGCCGUCGCCGAUCUUACCCUUGCUUACGCAUUGCUAUAGCCUAGGUUGAGAUCUGUUUUUCUCCUGAUGCUCUGCAGGAACUGGAGCGGCCAUGGAUCACAUCACCUAGGGUUUGGAGCUCCACCUGCUGGGAGAGGCUGGUUGCUACGCCAUCCCUUCGAUUCCCUGCUGUUAGGAAGCUGCCUUCCCUUUCGGUUCGACUAUGCUCUAGAUCUUCAAGGCUGCUGUUGCUGGGCACAGGCUGAUCCCUGCUUUCCUGUUGCUGCAACCAGUGGUUGUGAAGGUACGGCUUGUUCAUCUUUCUUUCAUGUCAUGUCAG